rnacentral:rRNA from 1 species
UACGGAGGGUGCAAGCGUUGUUCGGAAUUAUUGGGCGUAAAGGGCGCGUAGGCGGUUGCGUUAGUCAGAUGUGAAAUACUUCGGCUUAACUGGAGAACAGCAUUUGAUACUGCGCAACUAGAGUACAGGAGAGGGAAACGGAAUUCCCGGUGUAGAGGUGAAAUUCGUAGAUAUCGGGAGGAACACCAGUGGCGAAGGCGGUUUCCUGGUCUGAUACUGACGCUGAGGCGCGAAAGCGUGGGGAG